CGCCCCUAGGUUAUUAGGAUUGGGGGUUGGGCCUGCCCGGUGAUAUUUAAACGGCCGCAGUUGAUAGCUGUGCUAAGGUAGCGUAAUAAGUUGUCCUUUAAAUGAGGAAAGGUAUGAAUGGUUUGACGUAGGGGUUUCUGUCUCUGUAGGAUUGGAAGAAGUUUUCUUCUUGGUGAAAAGUCCAAGAAAAAAUUAAAAGACGAGAAGACCCUUUUGAGCUUAACUUACUAAUGGAAUAGUCGAUUAGGAAAAUUUGGUUGGGGCAACUAAGGAGCAAAAGGAGCCUCCUUAAAGUUAUGAGGAUCCAGAAAUUUUGAAUAAAGAAAAAGCUACCAUAGGGAUAACAGCGUUAUCUUUCCUGAGAGAACAAAUUGAAGGAAAGGUUUGCGACCUCGAUGUUGAAUUAAAGUUUCCGUUUGGCGCAGAAGCCUUUAUGGUAAGACUGUUCGUCUUUUAAAGCUUU
rnacentral:rRNA from 1 species